rnacentral:rRNA from 1 species
GAUGAACGCUGGCGGCGUGCCUAAUACAUGCAAGUCGAGCGAACGGACGAGAAGCUUGCUUCUCUGAUGUUAGCGGCGGACGGGUGAGUAACACGUGGAUAACCUACCUAUAAGACUGGGAUAACUUCGGGAAACCGUAGCUAAUACCGGAUAAUAUUUUGAACCGCAUGGUUCAAAAGUGAAAGACGGUCUUGCUGUCACUUAUAGAUGGAUCCUCGCUGCAUUAGCUAGUUGGUAAGGUAACGGCUUACCAAGGCAACGAUGCAUAGCCGACCUGAGAGGGUGAUCAGCCACACUGGAACUGAGACACGGUCCAGACUCCUACGGGAGGCAGCAGUGGGGAAUCUUCCGCAAUGGGCGAAAGCCUGACGGAGCAACGCCGCGUGAGUGAUGAAGGUCUUCGGAUCGUAAAACUCUGUUAUUAGGGAGGAACAUAUGUGUAAGUAACUGUGCACAUCUUGACGGUACCUAAUCAAAAAGCCACGGCUAACUACGUG